GCUUGGCACUUACCUUGUGGCGGUGUCAGCCGAUCACUAUUUAGGGUGGUCAGCUUGGUUAUCCUGCUUCGGCGAACACACAUCUGGGUUUGGUAGAACGUUGAGUAGCCUAGUGCAAAAAACGGAGCCAGC
ncrna:unclassified sequences RT-10 RNA